rnacentral:rRNA from 1 species
AUUGAACGCUGGCGGCAGGCUUAACACAUGCAAGUCGAGCGGAGAUGAGGUGCUUGCACCUUAUCUUAGCGGCGGACGGGUGAGUAAUGCUUAGGAAUCUGCCUAUUAGUGGGGGACAACAUUCCGAAAGGAAUGCUAAUACCGCAUACGCCCUACGGGGGAAAGCAGGGGAUCUUCGGACCUUGCGCUAAUAGAUGAGCCUAAGUCGGAUUAGCUAGUUGGUGGGGUAAAGGCCUACCAAGGCGACGAUCUGUAGCGGGUCUGAGAGGAUGAUCCGCCACACUGGGACUGGAACACGGCCCAGACUCCGACGGGAGGCAGCAGUGGGGAAUAUUGGACAAUGGGCGGAAGCCUGAUCCAGCCAUGCCGCGUGUGUGAAGAAGGCCUUUUGGUUGUAAAGCACUUUAAGCGAGGAGGAGGCUACCUGGAUUAAUACUCUAGGAUAGUGGACGUUACUCGCAGAAUAAGCACCGGCUAACUCUGUGCCAGCCGCCGCAGUAAGAC